UACGUAGUAUUACACAAAGCUAAAUUGUUUUAUCGUUUGCCCCUUUAUAAACAAAACAAGAACUUAAAGAUCAAAUUUUUAGAGAAUCUUCAAAUCAAAUUCUUUUUCCCUUUGCCAUAUUUUGGAAUUUAGGGCAGCCGAAAAUCAUCUCUGCCGCCCUCCACCUUCCCUCCGUCGGUGGCGCCGCCUACCGUCGUUGCUGGAAAAUUUCGAAUCAUCCCAAAAUUACACCUUUGCUUCACCUUACUCCCCUCUAAUAUGAUCUUUCACUUGACUCAUUCAAAACUCGGCCAAAUAUCAUAAAUCAGACCCACAAAGAUUAAAACCCUAAUCUCUUCAUCCUUUUUUAUUUCAGAUCUAACUAGAGGACAUAUAAACUCCAAACUGGUACUAUUCGAUAGAUCGUGAUGAGGUUUAUCGAUUGGUACUAGUUUUGACCCCCUUCAACGACCUCUGGUGUCGGUCAACUCGCUGUUGACCGGCUAGAAUCUUUGGAUUUCUUCCUUUCCUCUUCUUUUUUCAGCUUACAUCAGCUGUUGUGGCUUGUAGCACUGGAUGGAUUAUAAAAUCUAAACAAAUGCUUAUACUAGAAUGACCCCUGCUGGUCGGAAUCCUUCUUUUCUGAUGAGCCAGUUUGUAAAGGUAAUGCCCUUAAUUUUCUUCUUUAAUUGACAUGCAUGUCGUAUUCACGGUCUUUUGUUUGAAUGUUACUUAACAUGAAGAUUCCUUUAGGUUCAGUAGUUAGUUGAUUGUAUAUUUGAUUGAUUCUUAAGUCUGAAUACUAAAUUAACUAUUGUGUUCGGAGCCUUAAAUGGAAGUGACUAUACAUCCUUUAAGAUUAAAAAAAUGAUCACGAUUACAUAGUGAAUUCUGCCUAAAAAAUUCUUGUGGAACACGCCAUAUAUCAUACCACUUCCCAAACACUUCUCGAGAAUAAUUCUGAAAAUAGAAAAACUAUUUGUAUUGGUAAAAUUUGGCUUUGAUAUGUAAAUAGCUUACAUGGAAAUAUAAUGCUGCUUGGGAUAAGUGUCAUUCUGAGGAUAAAUGAAUAAUGAGAGCUUGCCCUCACGAGAAAUAACUUCGACCCGUUAGCUUCUUUCUAGGGAGAUGGGAGCAAUGCCUUGGUGAAGCACUCCUAAGACGACUUCAGAGAUCCAUUGAUGAAACUAUAGAUCAGAGUCUUGCUUGGUCUUCAAUCACUUCCUAACUAUACAGGAUUCACUCGUAUCCAAUAUGUCUGACAAUUAUCCCACAACCGACGAUUAUCUCGGCGAUCAACAACCACCUAGAACGACGUGGGAAGUGAAACUUGGGAUGUGAACAUCAGGUUUAGACUAUAAAUACUUAUAGUUCUCUCACCUAUGUCUCAUUUUGAUUCUGCUCUAUUUACCCAUUAUUAUAAGCUACUGCAUUUCGUUCUUGUCAAGUUGGCCAAUUGUUCUUUACUUUGCGAGCAGUGUAGCUCAUAAACAAUCUUAAUAAGAUUAUUAUUUCCUUUUCUUACUUUAAUCACGUUAUUAUUUUCAUUUAUUGUGUAUUUCGUCUAAUUAGACGAGUUAUUCAACUAAGCUCG
rnacentral:lncRNA from 1 species